rnacentral:rRNA from 1 species
CGGGUAACGGGGAAUCAGGGUUCGAUUCCGGAGAGGGAGCCUGAGAAAUGGCUACCACAUCCAAGGAUGGCAGCAGGCGCGCAAAUUACCCACUCCCAGCUUGGGGAGGUAGUGACGAAAAAUAACAAUGCGGGACUCUAAGAGGCCCCGUAAUUGGAAUGAGUACACCUUAAAUCGUUUAACGAGUAUCAAUUGGAGGGCAAGUCUGGUGCCAGCAGCCGCGGUAAUUCCAGCUCCAAUAGCGUAUAUUAAAGUUGCUGCAGUUAAAAAGCUCGUAGUUGGAUCUGGGGCUUGAGGUCGCUGUCUAUCGUUUCGGCGAUACGGUGAUGCUCAGCUCUGCUUGCCGGUGACUGUUGCGGUGUUCUUCACUGAGCGCUGUAGCAGCACGGCACGUUUACUUUGAAAAAAUUAGAGUGCUCAAAGCGUGCUUGUCGCUUGAAUAAUGUUGCAUGGAAUAAUGGAAUAGGACCUCGGUUCUAUUUUGUUGGUUUUCGGAGCUCAGGUAAUGAUUAAGAGGGACGAACGGGGGCAUUCGUAUUGCGGUGUUAGAGGUGAAAUUCUUGGAUCGCCGCAAGACGGACUACUGCGAAAGCAUUUGCCAAGAACGCUUUCAUUAAUUAAGAACGAAAGUCAGAGGUUCGAAGACGAUCAGACACCGUCCUAGUUCUGACCAUAAACGAUGCCGACCAGCGAUCCGUAGUGGUUGCUUUAUGGACCCUACGGGCAGCCUCCGGGAAACCAAAGUAUUUGGGUUCCGGGGGAAGUAUGGUUGCAAAGCUGAAACUUAAAGGAAUUGACGGAAGGGCACACCAGGAGUGGAGCCUGCGGCUUAAUUUGACUCAACACGGGAAAACUCACCCGGUCCGGACACCGUAAGGAUUGACAGACUGAUAGCUCUUUCUUGAUUCGGUGGAUGGUGGUGCAUGGCCGUUCUUAGUUGGUGGAGUGAUUUGUCUGGUUAAUUCCGAUAACGAACGAGACUCUAGCCUGCUAAGUAGUGUUGCUAUUGUUAUAUGGUUGACACUUCUUAGAGGGACAAGUGGCAUUUAGCCACGCGAAAUUGAGCAAUAACAGGUCUGUGAUGCCCUUAGAUGUCCGGGGCCGCACGCGCGCUACACUGGAGAAGUCAGCGUGUGUUAUCCAAGUCCGAAAGGACUGGGUAAUCCGUUGAACCUUCUUCGUGCUUGGGACUGUGGCUUGGAACUAUUCCACAUGAACGAGGAAUUCCUAGUAAUUGCAAGUCAUAAGCUUGCGUUGAUUACGUCCCUGCCCUUUGUACACACCGCCCGUCGCUACUACCGAUUGAAUGGUUUAGCAAGGUCCUCGGAUCGUGGCCGUAGGGGCACGCAAGUGUUUCUGCGGUUUGCGAGAAGACGACCAAACUUGAUCAUUUAGAGGAAGUAAAAGUCGUAACAAGGUU